ACUCCUACGGGAGGCAGCAGUGAGGAAUAUUGGUCAAUGGAGGGAACUCUGAACCAGCCAUCCCGCGUGUAGGAAGACGGCCUUAUGGGUUGUAAACUACUUUUAUACAGGAAGAAACGUACCCUCGUGAGGGUGCCUGACGGUACUGUAGGAAUAAGCACCGGCUAACUCCGUGCCAGCAGCCGCGGUAAUACGGAGGGUGCGAGCGUUAUCCGGAAUUAUUGGGCGUAAAGAGCAUGUAGGCGGUUUAUUAAGUCUGGUGUGAAAGCUAGUGGCUCAACCACUAAAUUGCAUUGGAUACUGGUAAACUAGAAUACUGGAGGGGCAAGUGGAAUUCCAUGUGUAGCGGUGGAAUGCGUAGAUAUAUGGAGGAACACCAAUGGCGAAGGCAGCUUGCUGGACAGUAAUUGACGCUGAGAUGCGAAAGCGUGGGUAGCAAACAGGAUUAGAUACCCUGGUAGGCUCUGCU
rnacentral:rRNA from 1 species